AUCAACACCAAAAACAUACCACUCCUUCAGAUCUGGAGGAACCACUAGAGGCCUAGUACUCUGCAUACAUCAAAACCAGAGGCUAGACGGUGGGAAUUACCAGGGAUCCGGUGAACGACUCACCAGACAACAUCACCCCACCCCCGGAGGUGCAUCGAAAAAAAGAAAAUGGAUGCUAGCAAAGAAGAUAAUGCAGAACAUGCAGGAAGAGGGAGAAUGCAUGAACAUACGAUGCAGCGCGCACGGCAAGCAACAAUUCUGCUUACCCAAACAUCAUGGACACAGGUGCUCGAACAAUCAGCGCAAACAACAGCUUGCCCAGUGGUGGAACAAAUGCAAGCACAUGAGCUGGGAGCCUUGGAGAGCAAACACUAAGCGAACCUGCAACUCCGGAAUCUGCUGGGAUUGACGCUGAUAUGGAAGACAGCAACAUGGAGGCAUAUUCCACACCUAAGCCACCUUUAUAAGGGACAAAAUUUGACACUCUGGAGAGCGCAUGUGACCGCUACAACAUCUACGGGCGCAAGACUGACUUUGCUAUUAGGCAACAAUUUAAAAAAGAGAGGGUUGAUAGAACUAUAAGCAAGGUGCUCCUAGUUUGUACAAAAUAUGGCAAACGACGCAGGGACAGGGAUGGGCUGCAAGAUGUGGAAAACCAAGUCAACAUUGUCAAGAAGAGGAAAAAAAGAAGGUUGUUAGGACUGAAUGUGAAGCGCACAUGUACCUAUCCCACGACGAUGCAUGGUGGAUUGUUGCCCGUUUCGAGGACAACCACAAUCACCCCCUCAUCAAAAAGCCCCUAACAAAAAUCUUAUCAUCACAUCGGUACGUUCCGAAGGAGGAGCAUGACUUCUUGAGGGUUCUGCACGGAUGCAACAUUGAGACUGCGAGGCAGAUGCAACUGAUGUCAUGGUUCUAAGAAAGUGUUGAAGACGUACCCUACACGACACAAGACAUUGCUAAUCAAUGAGCUAAGUUCCGCUUAGAGCACCGCCACGCGGACGUUGGAAGCACAAUUGCGUACUUCCAAGACAUGAGGGCCAAAGAUUCAUAUUUCUACUGGAGAAUCAAGCUUGAUGAUGAGGACAUGGUUGAGAACUUGUUCUGGAUUGAUGGCGCAUCAUGCAAGGCAUAUGCAAAGUAUAAUGGCCGUUUGUCAUUCGACACGACAUACAUGAGAAACAUGUACAAGAUGCCAUGUGCACCAUUCAUUGGAAUUAAUAACCAUGGUCAAUCCAUCCAGUUUGGGUGUGGCUUCGUUCGAAACGAACCAAAGGAGAACUUUGUGUGGCUGUUUAACACCUUCCUCCACGCAAUGGGCGGUGUUGCUCCAAAAAACAUCAUCACAUAUCAAGACUUUGCAAUGAGGAGUGCAAUCGACGAGGUCUUCUUGAACAUAAUACAUAGAAAUUGCCGCUGGCAUAUAAUGAAGAAGGCACAGGAGAAACUUGGAAAGCUUACGACUGAUGAUAAACCACUAAACAAAGCGUUCAAAGACUGUGUCAACAACAGCUUAACUGGUACAUACCUAAUAUGUAAACACAUUUUAAUUACCAUGCAUCAAACUUGGAAAGCCAUAUGAAAUGUGUGAGAACAAGUUACCAUGUUUAGGUCUACACAAGUUACCAUGAUCUUGUAGGUUAUAUUACCAGGGGGCACUUCACUAGAAAACAUCAAUUACCAUGGGAAAAAUGUGUGGACACGUAACCACAGAGGUAUAGCAGUAGCGCUGGUCAGAACAAAGCGCUACUGCUACUUAGUAGUAGCGCGUGUCAACAAAGCGCGCUACAGCUAUGGUUGUAGCAGUAGCACGUCUGCAGGUAAAAGUGCUACUACUAUAAUUCCCACACUGUUGCCGGUAGGCUAGGAAUAGUGGUAGCGAUCCUGUGGAAAGCACACUACCGCUAAGUGCCUUGUAGUAGCGCGUUUCUGGUGUAGAGCGCUACUGCUAAGAAAAAAAAUGAAAAAUAAACAGAAAAGUAAAUGAAAAUGAAAGAAAUAGAAAAAAGGAGAAAUAAAAAAAAGAAAAUU